UACAGAGGUCCCAAGCGUUGUUCGGAUUCACUGGGCGUAAAGGGUGCGUAGGUGGUUGCGCAAGUCUGAUGUGAAAUCUCCGGGCUCAACCCGGAAAUGGCAUUGGAAACUGCGUGGCUAGAGGGUUGGAGGGGGGACUGGAAUUCCUGGUGUAGCGGUGAAAUGCGCAGAUAUCAGGAGGAACACCGGUGGCGAAGGCGGGUUGCUGGGCUGACACUGACGCUGAUGUGCGAAAGCUAGGGGAGCGAACGGG
rnacentral:rRNA from 1 species